rnacentral:rRNA from 1 species
UACGGAGGGUGCAAGCGUUAUCCGGAUUUAUUGGGCUUAAAGGGUCCGUAGGCGGAUCUGUAAGUCAGUGGUGAAAUCUCACAGCUUAACUGUGAAACUGCCAUUGAUACUGCAGGUCUUGAGUGUUAUUGAAGUAGCUGGAAUAAGUAGUGUAGCGGUGAAAUGCAUAGAUAUUACUUAGAACACCAAUUGCGAAGGCAGGUUACUAAGCAACAACUGACGCUGAUGGACGAAAGCGUGGGGAGCAAACAGG